rnacentral:rRNA from 1 species
AGAGCGCAGGGUGGAUGCCAGGGCACUGAUUGCCGACGAAGGACGCGAUAAGCUGCGAAAAGCCAUGGGGAGCCGCAAGUAGGCAUUGAUCCAUGGAUAUCCGAAUGGGGGAACCCGGCUGGGGUAAUGCCCAGUCACUCCCGGCUGAAUCAAAUAGGCCGGGCAGAGGGCACCCGGGGAAGUGAAACAUCUAAGUACCCGGAGGAGAAGAAAGAAAACUCGAUUUCCUUAGUAGUGGCGAGCGAAGAGGAAAGAGGCCAAACCGUGAGUCUGCGGACGCACGGGGUUGAGGAGCGGCGACAUGUGACGAUAGACGAGCCGAAAGAUCUGGAAAGGUCGGUCAGAGAGGGUGACAGCCCCGUAGGCGAAGUCGAAAAUAGCUAGCCGGAUCCAGAGUACCGCGGGACACGAGAAAUCCUGUGGGAAGCAGGGGGGACCACCCCCCAAGCCUAAAGACGAUCAGUGACCGAUAGCGCAUAGUACCGUGAGGGAAAGGUGAAAAGAACCCCGGGAGGGGAGUGAAAGAGAACCUGAAACCCUGUGUUUACAAGCAGAGGAAGCAAGAGAUUGCGACCUCGUACUUUUUGUAGAACGGACCGGCGAGUUACGUUAUGCAGCGAGGUUAAGAACUUAAGGUUCGGAGCCGAAGCGAGAGCGAGUCUGAAGAGGGCGAUGUAGUUGCAUGACGUAGACCCGAAACCGGGCGACCUAUCCAUGGGCAGGUUGAAGUGAAGGUAAAGCUUCAUGGAGGACCGAACCAGACGUCCGCUGAAAAGGGCGGGGAUGACCUGUGGAUAGCGGAGAAAUUCCAAUCGAGCUCGGAUAUAGCUGGUUCUCCUCGAAAUAGCUUUAGGGCUAGCCUGAGGUUAGUCUGUCGGGGGUAGAGCACUGAAUGGGCUAGGGGGUCUCAAAGCUUACCGAACCCUAUCAAACUGCGAAUACCGAACAGAUGAUGCCUUGGAGUCAGACGGCGAGUUAUAAGAUCCGUCGUCAAAAGGGAAACAGCCCAGAUCGACAGCUAAGGUCCCGAAGUGUGUGUUAAGUGGGAAAGGAUGUGCAAUUGCAUAGACAACCAGGAUGUUGGCUUAGAAGCAGCCACACAUUCAAAGAGUGCGUAAUAGCUCACUGGUCGAGUGAUUGUGCGCCGAAGAUGUAACGGGGCUAAAACACACCACCGAAGCUUCGGGCUCGGGUUCAUGAACACUGAAUUCAUGUGGAAGCAGAGCGAAACAGCUUCGCGAAUUUCCACCGCUUGCGGUGAAUCAGGAAAUUCGCCAGAUGUUUUCUCAGGGGAUAAAACACAUGAGGUUGGUGUUCAUGAACUCGAGCGGUAGAGGAGCAUAGUGCACUGGCUGAAGCGGUACCGAGAGGAGCCGUGGACGGUGCAGUAGAGAGAAUGCCGGUAUGAGUAACGAGAUGCAGGCGAGAAACCUGCACGUCGAAAGCCCAAGGUUUCCUGGGGAAGGUUCAUCCGCCCAGGGUAAGUCGGGGCCUAAGCCGAGGACAACAGUCGUAGGCGAUGGAUAACUGGUGGAGAUUCCAGUACCACCUUUAUGAGCGAAGCGCUGACACAGAAGGAUAGCAUGAGCCGGUUGAUGGUAGAGCCGGUCUAAGCGGUUAGGGGGUCGCGUAGUGAAGUACGCGCGGCGUUUGCCUGAGCCGUGAUGGGGACUGAAAUAAAAGUAGGGAAGCAUGUGAAUCCACGCUGGCAAGAAAAGGCGCUAGCAAUUGUAGGGGUGCCCGUACCGCAAACCGACGCAGGUGGGCGAGGAGAGAAUCCUAAGACGAACGAGAGAACCCUUGUUAAGGAACUCGGCAAAAUGACCCCGUAACUUCGGGAGAAGGGGUGCCUCGAAAGAGGCCGCAGAGAAUAGGCCCAAGCGACUGUUUAGCAAAAACACAGGUUUGUGCGAAAGCGAGAGCUGACGUAUACGAGCUGACGCCUGCCCGGUGCUGGAAGGUUAAGAGGAGUUGUCAUCGCAAGAGAAGCAGCGAAUUGAAGCCCCAGUAAACGGCGGCCGUAACUAUAACGGUCCUAAGGUAGCGAAAUUCCUUGUCGGGUAAGUUCCGACCCGCACGAAUGGCGUAACGACUUGGGCGCUGUCUCAACAAGGGACUCGGUGAAAUUGAAGUAUGGGUGAAGAUGCCCAUUACCCGCGACUGGACGGAAAGACCCCGUAGAGCUUUACUGCAGCUUAUCAUUGAGAAUUGGUAACGGAUGUACAGGAUAGGUGGGAGGCAAGGAAACAUCGUCGUCAGAUGGUGCGGAGCCGGCGUUGGGAUACCACUCUUCUGUUACUGGUUUUCUAACAACAUGCGAUAAUCUCGGUGAUGGACAGUGAUAGGUGGGCAGUUUGACUGGGGCGGUCGCCUCCCAAAGAGUAACGGAGGCGCCCAAAGGUUCCCUCAGAAUGGAUGGAAAUCAUUCGAAGAGUGCAAUGGCAGAAGGGAGCCUGACUGCGAGACAAACACGUCGGGCAGAGACGAAAGUCGGGCAUAGUGAUCAGGUGACAUCGAGUGGAAGAGUCAUCGCUCAACGGAUAAAAGCUACCUCGGGGAUAACAGGCUGAUCUCCCCCAAGAGUCCACAUCGACGGGGAGGUUUGGCACCUCGAUGUCGGCUCGUCGCAUCCUGGGGCUGAAGCAGGUCCCAAGGGUUUGGCUGUUCGCCAAUUAAAGCGGCACGCGAGCUGGGUUCAGAACGUCGUGAGACAGUUCGGUCCCUAUCCAUCGUGGGCGCAGGAGUCAUGAUGGGAGCUGUCCCUAGUACGAGAGGACCGGGAUGGACGCACCUCUGGUGCAACAGUUGUCGUGCCAACGGCACAGCUGGGAAGCGAAGUGCGGACGGGAUAAACGCUGAAGGCAUCUAAGCGUGAAGCCCCCCUCGAGAAAAAGUAUCCCACAGCACAAGCUGGUAAGACCCCUUGCAGACGACAAGGUUGAUAGGUUGACGGUGUAAACGCAGUGAUGCGAAAGCUUGU